CCUCAGCCCUAACACCCCUCAGCCCUAACACCCCUCAGCCCUAACACCCCUCAGCCCUAACACCCCUCAGCCCUAACACCCCUCAGCCCUAACACCUAAGUGUACCUUAAAUGUCCCAUGCCCAAGCGAGGGAGAGUGAUGUUUGGAGAGGGAACAUCCUUGGUGGAAAUCUGAAGUUGAGCUAAAAAACAACCAACCUAAAGCUACUAAUAUACCUAGUAAGCUAACGUAUCUAGCCAGCACUCCUGUCAGGUAGCUAGCUACAGUAUUAAAUGUACCUAGUAAGCUAACGUAUCUAGCCAGCACUCCUGUCAGGUAGCUAGCUACAGUAUUAAAUGUACCUAGUAAGCUAACGUAUCUAGCCAGCACUCCUGUCAGGUAGCUAGCUACAGUAUUAAAUGUACCUAGUAAGCUAACGUAUCUAGCCAGCACUCCUGUCAGGUAGCUAGCUACAGUAUUAAAUGUACCUAGUAAGCUAACGUAUCUAGCCAGCACUCCUGUCAGGUAGCUAGCUACAGUAUUAAAUGUACCUAGUAAGCUAACGUAUCUAGCCAGCACUCCUGUCAGGUAGCUAGCUACAGUAUUAAAUGUACCUAGUAAGCUAACGUAUAUAGCCAGCACUC